rnacentral:rRNA from 1 species
UACGUAGGGCGCAAGCGUUAUCCGGAAUUAUUGGGCGUAAAGAACUCGUAGGCGGUUUGUCGCGUCUGCCGUGAAAGUCCGGGGCUCAACUCCGGAUCUGCGGUGGGUACGGGCAGACUAGAGUGAUGUAGGGGAGACUGGAAUCCUGGUGUAGCGGUGAAAUGCGCAGAUAUCAAGAGGAACACCUGAGGUGAAGACGGGUUGCUGGGCUGACACUGACGCUGAGGCGCGAAAGCCAGGGGAGCAAACGGG